AAACCAACAGGGAUUGCCUCAGUAACGGCGAGUGAAGCGGCAAGAGCUCAAAUUUGAAAGCUGGCCCCCUCGGGGUCCGCAUUGUAAUUUGCAGAGGAUGCUUCGGGAGUGGCCCCCAUCUAAGUGCCCUGGAACGGGCCGUCAUAGAGGGUGAGAAUCCCGUCUGGGAUGGGGUGCCCACGCCCGUGUGAAGCUCCUUCGACGAGUCGAGUUGUUUGGGAAUGCAGCUCUAAAUGGGUGGUAAAUUUCAUCUAAAGCUAAAUACUGGCCGGAGACCGAUAGCGCACAAGUAGAGUGAUCGAAAGAUGAAAAGCACUUUGAAAAGAGAGUUAAACAGCACGUGAAAUUGUUGAAAGGGAAGCGCUUGCGACCAGACUCGCCCACGGGGUUCAGCCGGCAUUCGUGCCGGUGUACUUCCCCGCGGGCGGGCCAGCGUCGGUUUGGGCGGCCGGUCAAAGGCCCUCGGAAUGUAACGCCCCCCGGGGCGUCUUAUAGCCGAGGGUGCCAUGCGGCCAGCCCGGACCGAGGAACGCGCUUCGGCUCGGACGCUGGCAUAAUGGUCGUAAGCGAC
rnacentral:rRNA from 3 species